GCUCUUGAGGAACUCUCGGGUGAUGAAGCCUCCACCACGGGCCACCAGGAGGCCGUCUUUGUUCAUGCAGGAGGCCAGGAGCGUGAAGAGGGCUUCGUAAACACCGUACUUUAAGAGAGUCACCUAAACGGGUAGAAUCCCAACAGAAACACAUCCUCUUUUAUUCAAGUUAGGCCAAAUCUUUCUUCCCCACUUUUCACAUGGACUGACAGGAAGACAAAUGACAGAUAAAGCACCCCUAAACCCACCUGAUCAUUCAGAUUCAGGCUCUGGAAACCCGGCACCGCCUUGGCGAACUCCGUCAGCUCGGUGACGGUCUCCACCGAGGUGCUCUGGCAGCAGUGGAAGAGCCGGGCUUCAGCCUCCCUCUGCUGGAGCUCCCUACACCCCACAGCCGGAACCACCGCC